rnacentral:lncRNA from 1 species
UGAANUUGGUUGUACCCUCAUUUCAUUCGUCUUUUCCCCAAUAGGCCAAGCAAAUUAUACUUUGUGUAAUAAUUAGACUUCAAAAAAUAUUAUCCUGCCUCAUUAGAUGUACAAUGGUAUGUUGCCAAUCCCAAGAGAAUGCUAACUGCUGAAGUCCACAAAAUUAAAUUUCAUUUUUCUUACUUUCCUUCCUUCAAUACAUAUCUUUUUUCAAUUGUUUUAAGCUCAUUUUACUUUUCAGUUUUUGAUACAUUGUGCUGAUUACAUCUGCUGGCAUCAUUGACCAUGAAGAGGCUAGGAGAAAGAAUGUUGGGGGAAAAAAAGUGCGCAAUCCCUGCGCACAUUAGUUUAUGAUGUAAUGUAAGUGAUCCUUACUUGAAUCAACAUAGAACUUAGAAUUGAGGAAGGGUGUUCCAUGCACUGGUUGCUUGGAGCUAAAUCUUGAUUCUUUAAAUACUAACUCUUCGUUUCUUGUCUAAGCAUUUUAUCAAAGAGCUUGUGCAGGAUAAAGAAAUUAAUUUGACAAAGUCACUUUGGCGAUUGCUUUUAUUACCUUGAUGAUUUUUGUUAUCCAAGAUUACAACUUCUGUUGCAAGUCUUCAAGGUUAUUAGGUUCAAUUUGCCAUGUAAUAAAAAUUAGGUCGUUUCGAAAUUAUUUCCUACUUUCAUAUGUUUGAUAAAAAGGUUGAGUAUCGAAUAAUUCUUUAACUUUGCGUAAGCGAGUACAUAAAAAAUGUUAUAUUAUGCACCAAAGAUUUAAGAAGUCACCAAAAAAAAAAAAAAGUGGAAAAAAUUUUAUAUAUUCUAGGAACACUAACAUUACCUUCGAAAUAACAAAGCGCGUGCAUGGCAUGGGCAAUAGAUUAGUAGUACAAUAAAGAGACCUUAACUAAUUACAAUACAAUAUCUUUAUUUUAAAUAGAAUACUACUUUUGGAGAUAAUAUAGCUCACUACACUAGAUAAAGAAAUACAAUAUAAUGAUAUAUACAAUUGGAAAAUAUCAUUUUCUUAUAUAUAUAGAAAGUGAAGAAAAAUAUAAAAAAAUAAAAACCAUUAUCAUCUCACCUACACUUAUUUCAGUUUGGACCGAGGCAUAGAUGAUAGAUAUACAUAUUAUGUGAUUAAUUGUCGCCUCAUAGAUCCCUCGCGAGAUGUUAGCCAUGGUUAACUUCUGUUCAUAGGGUUAAUCUCUAAUCUUUUGUCUUGAAGGGUAGCUUAAAUUACUUAAUGCUAGGUAGCAAAAACCUUAAAAAAAAGGUCUCCCAACCGUUUUGUGCCAGCAUUUAGUGCUAAAUGUGUAAAUUACCCUAUUCUUUAUUCUCUCCAAAUUCUUACAGAUCAACUCUAAUUAACGUGAGCCCAUUUUUCCUUUCUUUUUGUACAUAAAAUGCAGGAGGAUACUAUUAAGUGGUUCCCCGGGUAUAACUGGAAAGAGGGGAAUGGAAUCCAAGAUGAAGUUUAAGAGAGAUUCACUUAUAGAGAUGAAGAAAGGAUAAGAGAACAAAAAUAGAGUUACAAUUUAAUCAGAAUUUUAAAAUAGAUUUGAUCAGAUCGUAGAAGUAUUUCGAUAAUGUUCUAAUUUAGUAGAAGUUCAUUGGACUUGAUAAUAGAUGAUUUAUUCAUUGUAAUAUUCAACCCGUAAUUAUAUGAAUAGUCUUCAAUUAUUCAACCAAUUAAGCUUGUCUCAUAUGAAAAAUCGAGAAACACCACCAACUCAAAAUCAUAUAAAAAGACAGCAUAAUUUGGCCCUAUUAGAGUUAAAGAACUGCACAUAGAGAAUCAGAUAUGGCAUAUGCUUUGUACCUUGAAAAGUCAUCAACCAAGUUGGCCCGGAGAGUCAGUGUCGGCAAUAUCAUCAAAAAGUAAAAAAAAAAAAAAAAAAAAAAGGAAAAGUGCGUCAGAUAAUUAUUUCACUCCAUUGAAUUGCUAGUGAAGAAUAAUUACGUAGACCAAGUUAUACUGUUCAAUGGAAGUUUCAGGAAGGCAUAUAAUAGCAGCAGUUGCAAUAUCAGGAUGCAGCUUAAUCUUGGUGUCAUAUCUACGGCAGAAAAUUCUCCGGUUCUGUCCCAACCACUCUCAUGGAAAGUCGACCAUGAUUGCAGACAGAGAGAGACAUGUUUCCUCUACCAAAAAUGAAUGCUCAGCAACAGGUAUCUCCAAACCAAGACAAUAAUAUUAGAUGGGAAAUGCUACUUGUAUACGCUGGUUUACCACCUCGUUUACAGAAUACUGAGUUGACAAGAUUUUUCGGACAAAAAGACGAGGUUUAAAUAGCAUGUAAAAUCUUGCUACCUCAGCACCUGUAACUACUUCUGAUAAAAAAAAAUAUGUAAAAGUAGCAUUUUCCAUAUUAGAUUGAGCCUUUCAAUUUUCCUUUUGUGUGUAUAUGUCUUGGAUGAUCAUGUAUGGGGAGUGUAGUGAUUAGGCCUAGACGACUAUUUAUUGUUACACGUCACAAAGAUUAGCAUUGCAUAAUUUUGCAAACAUAAAUCACAUACGACGAGAUUCAAAUAUUCGCUGUAAUUCAUUAAAAUCGAAGCUAUGAAAUUGAUUUCACCAUAAUUUUUGGUUCCUUGCAUUGACGUUCAAACUUUACAGGUAAAGUUCGAAAACAAGGUUGGUUCUCGGCUAUAAAAGACGCACCAAGUGACGAUAAAUUACUGAGGAAAAGAAGUCACAUUUAGAGACACAGGAUACAAUCUGGAGUCGAGAAAAGAAAGGAAGGAUGAAUCUGCCUGAAAAUUGGAACAAUUUGUAUAAUGGGAUUAAUAGUUACCGAUCUCAGCAGGCUAUUUUAAUGAUGUAUGCUUAAGCGAAAGUAGUAAGUCCUUUGGUUUUAUAUAUAAAAGAACCCUACGCGCUCAAAUAGUCCUAUUACAUAUCUAAACUUCGUCUUAGAGAAAAUCCUAUGAUUAUAUUUCAUCAGAUGAUCAAAUACGGACAUGCUCGUCGCGCAGUGAUGGAUUGAAUGGAUGAUGAAAAGAAUUUAUAUAAAUGACUCUAAAUUCAUUAAGAAAUAAGGAUUUGUUUUGAUUUUCCGAGGUUCAAUCAGUUGAAUAUGUAUGGAAAUUGUAAGAAG